CACUAGUUAACACGCCUAUAACCACCCUGUACCACUACACCCGUUAAACACCCUAUAACCACUCACCGGUUAACACCCUAUAACCACUACACCGGUUAACACCCUAUAACCACUACACCAGUAACCACCCUGUAACCACGACACAGUUAACACCUGUAACCCUAACCAGUUAACACCUAUAAACACACACACACACACACACACCUGAACACACUUACACCAGUUAACACCCAAACACAUACACCCACCACACACACACCUAUAACCCAACUACACCAGUUACACUACCUAUAAACACUACACCAGUUAACACCCUAUAACCCACUACACCAGAACACCCUAUAACACUACCACACAUACACACCCUUAACCACACCCAGUUAAACACCCAUAGAUCCACUCCUGAACCUACUACACAGAACACACCCGUAUAACCACCCUGUAACCACUACCACCAGUUAACACCCUAUAACCACCCUGUACCACACACACAGUUAACACCCUAUAAACACACACACCCAGUUAACACCCUAUAACCACCCUGUAACCACUACACCAGUUAACACCCCCCUAGUAACCACCUGUAACCCACUCACCAGUUCAACACCCUGUAACCACUCCACCAGUUACACCCUGUUAAACCACCCGAACCACUACACCACGUUAACACCCUGUAACCACUACACCAGUUAACACCCUAUAACCACUACACCAGUUAAAACCCUUAUAACCACUACAACCAGUUAACACCCUAGAAACCACCUUGUAACCACUACACCAGUUAACACCCUAUAACCACCCCUGUAACCACUACACCCGUUAACACCCUAGAACCACCCUGUAACCCACUACACCAUUAAACACCCUAAACCACCCUGUAACCACUACACCAGUUAACCCCCUAUAACCACUACACCAGUUAAACACCUAGUAACCACUCCACAAGUUAACACCCUGUAACCAUCCAAUCACCAGUUAACACCCGGAUUAACCACCUACAACCAGUAACACCCUAUAACCACUACACCAGUUAACACCCUAUAACCACUACACCAGUUAACACCCUAUAACCACUACAUCAAGUCACCGUUAAGCUUCAUUUCUCCCGUCUGUGUUAUUCUAAGUGAGUUAUAGCUGCAGUCCAUGUGAGUUUGUGUGAUCAGAAUCUCAGACUGCCCCUGAACCUCAGCAGCAGCCUUCUCCCAGUACGCCAAACAUUCUCCCAGUAGG
rnacentral:lncRNA from 1 species